rnacentral:sRNA from 1 species
CCAGGGGAGUGUGAGGCCCUUCUAGGCUGACCUCAAAGACACCGCUCUCCCCAGAAUCCAGAGGGACACCUGGAGGGAUAAACAGGUCAGCCUUGGGUCCAGAGGCCCUUUCCUUGUGUCAACCCUGUAACUUUUACUGGCCCAGUGGGACUUAACGUAGCCUUCUGGAGGAAAGAGCAUCUUCACGUGGAUUUACCCUGGCCCGGAGGCAGAUGCAGUGACCUCGGCUCCCGUGUUGCCAGGAUCCGACCUCUCCUAGUUGAAAACAGCCUCGUGUUCCCCUGGGCCGAGGGGCAGCUCCAGAGGACUGGCUGAG